AGGCAUGCUUUGGCCCAAGGGCAUCGUCCUCUCUCUAUGAAUGUAGUGAGGACCAGUAAAAGCAUGCUAGAUUAACAGUCAAACAUUCGGGAGUUAACAGGGCCACCAGUCUUUCAAGUCCAGGCUGAGUUGGUAGUAUAAUACUCCCACAAUA